rnacentral:rRNA from 1 species
CCUACGGGAGGCAGCAGUGGGGAAUAUUGCACAAUGGGCGCAAGCCUGAUGCAGCGACGCCGCGUGGGGGAUGAAGGCCUUCGGGUUGUAAACUCCUUUCGCUAGGGACGAAGCUUUGUGUGACGGUACCUAGAUAAGAAGCACCGGCUAACUACGUGCCAGCAGCCGCGGU